CUGCGGCAGCGACACUAUGUGUUGUUGGGUAGGGGAGCGUUCUGUAAGCCUGCGAAGGUGGCCUGUGAGGGUUGCUGGAGGUAUCAGAAGUGCGAAUGCUGACAUAAGUAACGAUAAAGCGGGUGAAAAGCCCGCUCGCCGGAAGACCAAGGGUUCCUGUCCAACGUUAAUCGGGGCAGGGUGAGUCGACCCCUAAGGCGAGGCCGAAAGGCGUAGUCGAUGGGAAACGGGUUAAUAUUCCCGUACUUGGUGUUACUGCGAAGGGGGGACGGAGAAGGCUAUGUUGGCCGGGCGACGGUUGUCCCGGUUUAAGCGUGUAGGUGUGUGUUCCAGGUAAAUCCGGUUCACUUUAACACUGAGGCGUGAUGACGAGGCACUACGGUGCUGAAGCAACAAAUGCCCUGCUUCCAGGAAAAGCCUCUAAGCAUCAGGUAACAUCAAAUCGUACCCCAAACCGACACAGGUGGUCAGGUAGAGAAUACCAAGGCGCUUGAGAGAACUCGGGUGAAGGAACUAGGCAAAAUGGUGCCGUAACUUCGGGAGAAGGCACGCUGACACGUAGGUGAAGUGAUUUACUCAUGGAGCUGAAGUCAGUCGAAGAUACCAGCUGGCUGCAACUGUUUAUUAAAAACACAGCACUGUGCAAACACGAAAGUGGACGUAUACGGUGUGACGCCUGCCCGGUGCCGGAAGGUUAAUUGAUGGGGUCAGCGCAAGCGAAGCUCCUGAUCGAAGCCCCGGUAAACGGCGGCCGUAACUAUAACGGUCCUAAGGUAGCGAAAUUCCUUGUCGGGUAAGUUCCGACCUGCACGAAUGGCGUAAUGAUGGCCAGGCUGUCUCCACCCGAGACUCAGUGAAAUUGAACUCGCUGUGAAGAUGCAGUGUACCCGCGGCAAGACGGAAAGACCCCGUGAACCUUUACUAUAGCUUGACACUGAACAUUGAGCCUUGAUGUGUAGGAUAGGUGGGAGGCUUUGAAGUGUGGACGCCAGUCUGCAUGGAGCCGGCCUUGAAAUACCACCCUUUAAUGUUUGAUGUUCUAACGUGGACCCGUGAUCCGGGUUGCGGACAGUGUCUGGUGGGUAGUUUGACUGGGGCGGUCUCCUCCUAAAGAGUAACGGAGGAGCACGAAGGUUGGCUAAUCCUGGUCGGACAUCAGGAGGUUAGUGCAAUGGCAUAAGCCAGCUUGACUGCGAGCGUGACGGCGCGAGCAGGUGCGAAAGCAGGUCAUAGUGAUCCGGUGGUUCUGAAUGGAAGGGCCAUCGCUCAACGGAUAAAAGGUACUCCGGGGAUAACAGGCUGAUACCGCCCAAGAGUUCAUAUCGACGGCGGUGUUUGGCACCUCGAUGUCGGCUCAUCACAUCCUGGGGCUGAAGUAGGUCCCAAGGGUAUGGCUGUUCGCCAUUUAAAGUGGUACGCGAGCUGGGUUUAGAACGUCGUGAGACAGUUCGGUCCCUAUCUGCCGUGGGCGCUGGAGAACUGAGGGGGGCUGCUCCUAGUACGAGAGGACCGGAGUGGACGCAUCACUGGUGUUCGGGUUGUCAUGCCAAUGGCACUGCCCGGUAGCUAAAUGCGGAAGAGAUAAGUGCUGAAAGCAUCUAAGCACGAAACUUGCCCCGAGAUGAGUUCUCCCUGAGACUUAGAGUCUCCUGAAGGAACGUUGAAGACGACGACGUUGAUAGGCCGGGUGUGUAAGCGCAGCGAUGCGUUGAGCUAACCGGUACUAAUGAACCGUGAGGCUUAACCUU
rnacentral:rRNA from 1 species